GGACGUGCGGCGUACUAAUACAUGCAAGUCGAGCGGACAGAUGGGAGCUUGCUCCCUGAUGUUAGCGGCGGACGGGUGAGUAACACGUGGGUAACCUGCCUGUAAGACUGGGAUAACUCCGGGAAACCGGGGCUAAUACCGGAUGGUUGUUUGAACCGCAUGGUUCAAACAUAAAAGGUGGCUUCGGCUACCACUUACAGAUGGACCCGCGGCGCAUUAGCUAGUUGGUGAGGUAACGGCUCACCAAGGCAACGAUGCGUAGCCGACCUGAGAGGGUGAUCGGCCACACUGGGACUGAGACACGGCCCAGACUCCUACGGGAGGCAGCAGUAGGGAAUCUUCCGCAAUGGACGAAAGUCUGACGGAGCAACGCCGCGUGAGUGAUGAAGGUUUUCGGAUCGUAAAGCUCUGUUGUUAGGGAAGAACAAGUACCGUUCGAAUAGGGCGGUACCUUGACGGUACCUAACCAGAAAGCCACGGCUAACUACGUGCCAGCAGCCGCGGUAAUACGUAGGUGGCAAGCGUUGUCCGGAAUUAUUGGGCGUAAAGGGCUCGCAGGCGGUUUCUUAAGUCUGAUGUGAAAGCCCCCGGCUCAACCGGGGAGGGUCAUUGGAAACUGGGGAACUUGAGUGCAGAAGAGGAGAGUGGAAUUCCACGUGUAGCGGUGAAAUGCGUAGAGAUGUGGAGGAACACCAGUGGCGAAGGCGACUCUCUGGUCUGUAACUGACGCUGAGGAGCGAAAGCGUGGGGAGCGAACAGGAUUAGAUACCGGGG
rnacentral:rRNA from 1 species